rnacentral:rRNA from 1 species
CUCCUGGAAACGGGUGGUAAUGCCGGAUGCUCCAGUUGACCGCAUGGUCCUCUGGGAAAGCUUUUGCGGUAUGGGAUGGGGUCGCGUCCUAUCAGCUUGAUGGCGGGGUAACGGCCCACCAUGGCUUCGACGGGUAGCCGGCCUGAGAGGGCGACCGGCCACAUUGGGACUGAGAUACGGCCCAGACUCCUACGGGAGGCAGCAGUGGGGAAUAUUGCACAAUGGGCGCAAGCCUGAUGCAGCGACGCCGCGUGCGGGAUGACGGCCUUCGGGUUGUAAACCGCUUUUGACUGGGAGCAAGCCCUUCGGGGUGAGUGUACCUUUCGAAUAAGCACCGGCUAACUACGUGCCAGCAGCCGCGGUAAUACGUAGGGUGCAAGCGUUAUCCGGAAUUAUUGGGCGUAAAGGGCUCGUAGGCGGUUCGUCGCGUCCGGUGUGAAAGUCCAUCGCUUAACGGUGGAUCCGCGCCGGGUACGGGCGGGCUUGAGUGCGGUAGGGGAGACUGGAAU